AGACCCGAAACCCGGUGAUCUAGCCAUGGGCAGGUUGAAGGUUGGGUAACACUAACUGGAGGACCGAACCGACUAAUGUUGAAAAAUUAGCGGAUGACCUGUGGCUGGGGGUGAAAGGCCAAUCAAACCGGGAGAUAGCUGGUUCUCCCCGAAAGCUAUUUAGGUAGCGCCUCGUGAAUUCAUCUCCGGGGGUAGAGCACUGUUUCGGCUAGGGGGCCAUCCCGGCUUACCAACCCGAUGCAAACUGCGAAUACCGGAGAAUGUUAUCACGGGAGACACACGGCGGGUGCUAACGUCCGUCGUGAAGAGGGAAACAACCCAGACCGCCAGCUAAGGUCCCAAAGUCAUGGUUAAGUGGGAAACGAUGUGGGAAGGCCCAGACAGCCAGGAUGUUGGCUUAGAAGCAGCCAUCAUUUAAAGAAAGCGUAAUAGCUCACUGGUCGAGUCGGCCUGCGCGGAAGAUGUAACGGGGCUAAACCAUGCACCGAAGCUGCGGCAGCGACACUGUGUGUUGUUGGGUAGGGGAGCGUUCUGUAAGCCUGUGAAGGUGUGUCGUGAGGCAUGCUGGAGGUAUCAGAAGUGCGAAUGCUGACAUAAGUAACGAUAAAGCGGGUGAAAAGCCCGCUCGCCGGAAGACCAAGGGUUCCUGUCCAACGUUAAUCGGGGCAGGGUGAGUCGACCCCUAAGGCGAGGCCGAAAGGCGUAGUCGAUGGGAAACGGGUUAAUAUUCCCGUACUUGGUGUUACUGCGAAGGGGGGACGGAGAAGGCUAUGUUGGCCGGGCGACGGUUGUCCCGGUUUAAGCGUGUAGGCUGGUUUUCCAGGCAAAUCCGGAAAAUCAAGGCUGAGGCGUGA
rnacentral:rRNA from 2 species